ensembl:lncRNA
CAGCCUGCAAUAAAGGAGAUGCUGCCAUUUUCCAUGAUGAAGUAUCUUCCACUUCUGAACUGCAAUCAGGAAGCCCACCUCUGGUAUCACAAUAGCACUCCAUGCUGAUCAUCACCAGAGCCCAGUGUUCAAUUCAGAGGCAAUGUCAAAAAGAGCAACAGAAGAGAAAGAGAAGAGAGAAGAAACUAGCCUGGAUUGAUUUAAAGAGCAGGUAAGCCAAAAGAUUAGUAAAUAAAUAAAUAAAUCUGCUCCAGGGGAGCGAUUGUACUUUUGUGCAUGAAUCUAUAAAAAAACCUCCUCUGAAUUCUCUACUUUGAAACCUUAGGUAUGUUCUGUUAAAUUCAUUCUGGACCUCCAAAAAGAAAGUUGAUAAUAGAUAGAAGUGUAGUCUUCUGCUAUGGAAAACAGCCUUGUUUUUCCAAACUGUAGUAUUUUGAUCCCAUUCUUUUUAUGUAAUUUAAUCAUAUUCUUAAUUGGCAGAGGAUUGAUUCAAAAUUCUACUUGGUACUUAGCAUUUAUCCUAACAAAUGUCUGCUCACUCAGAUCAGCCCAAGGCUUUCUGGCCAGAAGCAGCUCGGCUGCAGCAACAUUUCCUGGGUGCAAUUUCAAGAGGGAGCAUCGAGACACGGCCGGCUGAAAGGCAGUCUUAGUCCUCCCUUUAGGUGUAGUCACGGCAUUUUUCACAUCUAGAACUAAAAUUGUUUGGCCCUCCUGGCAAUUGAUAUGGGUGACAAAUCGUAACAAUCCAAACUAAAGUAACGACGUGAGUGAUGAUCAGCACAGAUAUUAUUACCGAUCAAGCAGUCUCUAGCUUAAACUUAGUGACGCAGCUGCAACUUAACACUAGGUGUUUUAAAGAAUGUGCACAGUGUUAAGCCAACAUUAGAUGAAAGAGAGUAGCUGAGCAGAUAGAAAAGCAUUCAUACAAAGAGACCUCACUCAAAAGCAUAGAUGGAUAUCAUAAGCAGAAAGUAUUUAAAAUAUACAUGACAGAACAGUUUGUUUGGAGAAAUAAUGAGACAAAAGGGAUACAAUCUUCUAACUGUAAAAUAUCAUUAAACAAUUAGGGCUAUCACCAUCUGUGGGCCAAAACUUAAGUUCCUUUCCUUCAGAAGUGAUCAUUCAUUAUGACUGUAGGUUUACUUUUAUCUCUAAGAACAAGGAAGGGUAUCUAAGUUAGAGCCAAAACGUAUUUUUUCUGAUGAGUCUAAUGAUAAUAAUGCAGAUCAGUUUAGUGAGAUAAGUUUAUAAACCCCUCAUCGUUCUCUCAGGUUAUGCAGUUUUCUCUGCCUGAAUGGCAGCAAUGAUUCAACCUCUAUGUUUUCUUAUAGUCGCUCUCGUGUUUAAGUUAGUGGAAUUUGCAACUACAGGCUUCAUGCUCUGGAAGAAUGCCAUUUAUACGGAGGGAGAAAUCAAUGAUCCUGCUGCACUCAGAUUGUUGAUAUGUUACAUAUUUUCCAAAUGCACAACUGAACUUCUGGAUUUCCCAUAAUAUGAUAUUAUCUGUGUGGUAACUUUCAAGUUAUCCUGAAAGAAGUUUCACAUUAACAGAAUUCAACUGUUUUUGUUCUUAUGAAAAUCAGCUAAAUUCAUGAAACUGAGAUGAUUAACUAAAGCUUACGAUGUCGACCAGAGUAUUAGAUUUCCAUCAUGAUCAUGCAACAGAACCAAUUUGUAGAUUUCAGAGUCACAGUGUGAAAAGGGUAUGUGUGUUGUUAGGUACUGUUGCAGAGAGCAGUUCUGCAUUGACUGGAGCAGUGUGGGGAUUAAUCCAUGACAUGAUAAGCAAAAGAUUUACAUACUUGGAGUGAAAUUCACAUGGCACUUGCAAAACAAAAAUGGCAGAAAUAUACUCCCACUUUCUAUAGUUUCUUAAAUGCAUUAAUUUACUUCCUGAUCUUGACCACUGUGCUUGCAAAAGCAAUACGUAGUCUGCAUUAAUGCAUAUGUUGUUGUAUAUUAAUGAUCAUUAUACACAGCAAAGUAUGCAUACAAAAGUAACAAAAGGCAUUUCAGGAAUAUGAUCCUUUAUCUGAUGAUGUCAAACCAGCAAUUUUUAUUUCUCUCUAAAUUAUUUGAAUUGGUCCAGAUCAGGAAAAAAAACGAUGCAUGGUCUAUCUCUGAGUGAAGUAACAUGAGUCAAUUCGGUUACACAAUUUGUGCUUGUCCACAUUUUUGGAAAGUGAUUGGCAGCUGCUUUUGGUAGGUGUAAAUGAAAGGACAGAAGAGCUGUUUUCUGUGGAAAAAAACUUGUAUUUUAUAUGGGCUCAAUAGCAAAGAAACAGGUUUUUAGAAAUGACAUUUUUGUAGUAUCACCCAAUAAGUACCUGUAUAUGGAUAUCACUGAUAUAACCAGCCUAAGAAAUCAUCAUUUGGAUGAAUCAUUUGGCCAAGUGCUAACGUGAAUAGAAAAGAUAGUCUACUGUCUUGGAGUGAAAUGGAAUAGACAUAAUCACAGUGUAGGUGAGAGAUGGCAGCAAACCAUUAACGUACAGAGGAUUAAAGCGUGAGGUGGCAAAGAAUAAAUGUGGACUACAGAAUUUGUUUGGUAAGCUAGACAUGCAAUUAGAGGAAGCAGAAAUUUAAGAGUCAAUGAAACCUAAAGAGAAAGCAAGCCUGUCUGCUGUGAUAAGUUAGUCAUUUAGAACUACAACAGGUGUUACUACAGUAAUUAGAAUAUACUGAGUUAUCUGAUUGGAAUUUUUGCAUGAUGAGAGCAUUGCCAACUGCUUUUGAUAUUGGCUGAUGGCAACAGUAACAGGCCAAAAACACCUGCUCUGAAAUCUUUUGACCAGCAAGAGAGGAAGAUGCUUUUCAGUGGCUUUAUUUUUCAGCACUUCCCCUUUUUGUUGUAGCCUCCUAAGUCUUUCAUAAACAAAUUAACAGUAAUGAUAUUUUAAAGGGUGAGUUACUUGAGAUCUCUUAAGAAGAGGUACCAUAACUAAAUUCUGUUUUUCAUUUAUGAACUUCCCUCUAUGAUUAUACUUGCAAACAAGUUUUGGGUUUACUUUCUAAGUCUUUAAAGCUAUAUUAUUACAUUCUGAUGUUUGUCAUAAGCACUAGCAAAGCUUUUUUCUGUCCUGUCUCUCUCUACUGGAGUUUCAGCUUGCUUGAAAUGAAAAAGAUGAUUUGCUGUAGAUCAAUAUUCCCUUAAGAUGUAAACACAUCAGCUAUUAGAAGUGAAGCAAGAGCAAGAGUAGUGGCCAGUACUCUAAUGUUAGAUCUCUAUGGAUAUCUCAGGGGCGGCAGCAACUGUAAUGAGGAAUCAAUAACUUGAACAAAUCUCUCUUAGGCCUGAAGGAACCUCUUAGAGUAUGUUUGUGUCUUUGUAUAACUGGAGCUGGCUUGCUGUAAAUGAGAUGCAAAAUGGAGGAAUUCAGGAAAUUCAUACGGCAGUUUCAGUGCUGCACAGGACUGCAAGUUUGAUCCCAGAGGUGAGAUUGUGCUGUCAGUAAUGAUGUUCUUCCUGCCUAAACUUCCACUGGAGAAAGUACUCUCCUUUACUCAUCCCUCUUAGCUGAUAUGCGUUGCUUCCUUUUGCUGUUCAAGAAGAUGCUCUGUGUCACUUUUGGUAUGUCUGUUUGGGUUAGAGUGAAUCAUUUUUAUACUGUUUUAUGGGGAAAUGAGCAGUUUCAAGUCUUACAAAUUAUGCAAAGUAUUUUGCUCUCUCCCAUGGUGUCCUUGGAUGUAAACAAGCUGAACUUUCUUGUGUCCAUUCAAUAGAUUAAAAAAAAAAGUCAGGACAGUGCUGCUGGAUCAUUACAGCCAGCCUUUUGCCUCUCAGGGCACGAGGGAAUAUAUUUGUAUAUGUAUGAGGGGCUAUUUCUUCUAUUACCUUAAACUGAAGUGCUCUGGUAUGUGUGUGAGACAUUUUGCCAGGAUGGAGUUUCAGGGCAAGUUGAAAACCUCUGCAGAUGAGUGCCGAGCAUGUGUAUCUGUAAGGCAAGCAGGGAUCCUUUUGUAUAUAUCAAUGAUCUGAGAUGUGCAGAAAGUCUGCAAUUGGCUUGAUUUUCAUAAAAUACAAGAAAAGUUCAGAUGCUGCAUAUUGGGAUUUCUUUACAGUAAGGACCUUUUCCCUUUGUUUUGUGAAUGACCUUCCCAUUUAUAGAGUUCCUCUCCAUUUGCUGAAAGCUAUUGUUUUUCUGUGUGUUAAUUAAAACCCAGAUUAAGUAUAUAAAAGCACACUCAAGCUUCUGUGCACGCCUGGCUGAAAACAGAGCUGUAUGAACAGAAACACUCUAGCAGAGAUGUGAGCUUUGUCACUGGAGUAGAAUGCCUGAAUAUGAAAGUCAUUACUGGGAAGCAGAGUGACAUUUAAAUUAUGCCACUGUUCCUCCUACUGGCUUCUGACGAUAUAUUUUCAGAAAGAAAAUUAAACGUGUUACAAGGCACUUAAGUGUAAUGCUUGAAAAUGGUAUCUUAAUGUGGUUAUUAAAUGAAAUGUUAGCCCCACGUAUCCGUAUGAUUUCACCAUGAAUGUGGCAUGCAAAUCUGGCAGUGUACUUCCUCAAGUCUUUACUGCACUAACUGGUAUCUUUUAAAUGCUGGCUUCGUGCCAUUUCUGUUGUACCUACACAGUAGAAUCAGUCAUGUAGAGAGGGAAACAUCUGGCAAAAAAUAAUAAUAUAAAAAAAAAAGCGUAAGCAGCCACCUUGCAUUGUCAUAUGUAAAAACAGCAAUGACUCACAGACAAGUGCAAAACUAACAAGGAAAAAAAGCCAGUGAUAAAGGUGAACCAACUGUAGUGUCAUGGCCCUCUGAAGAAAGUGAUCUGCUGAUGGAUAGAGGAGUAGAGAAGAAACAGCUUUAGACAGGUGAAGACCAAUCCUUCCUUUUGAAAAGAAAGGUUUAUCCUUCUUGUCUGAGGCCCCAUUUUUAAAAGCUUUUAUCUAUGGGGUUAACUUCAUCAGCUCCAGUGUACUGCACUCCAGUGAGAGAUAAGAAGAGAAUUAAAAUUACUACCAUGCUUAAUCAACUUGCCAGCAUAGGGAUACUCUUGAAUUGGGGCACAAUUAAAUUAAGCUUAACUCCAAAUAUAUGCAAGAAGUAGACAUCUGGCAAAAUCUAGCUGAAAAAGCACAGAGCUGCAUUAUGACACUCUCCAAGGACAAAGGAAAUGGAAAGUGAAAGGGUAUCGAAGAGCAAGACCUGCCAAGUCCUUUAAUCUUUGUUUUGUAAUGCACACUACCCAUCACAAAAAAUACUUAACUAGUGAUUUCACUCACUUAUUGCUAAAUCUUUAAACUAUUGAUUUCACUAGUUUACCCACAGCAUACCCACAGCAUGAAAACAUAUGCAUCUAUGCUACUGUACCUUAUUUUUUACUUUUUCAGUUAGCACGACUGUUGAAUUUUGAAACAAUUUACAACUGCAAUUAAAAGGUCUGAAAAUGAUAUAAAAGGAAGCAGAAUGAGCUAAUCACAGACAAAAUCAAGGCCCUCCUGGCCUUGAAAUCUAUAUUUCCAUGAAAGAAAGUCUUUGAAACUUUGCUGAAUCUAAGGAUAUUAAUAAGCAGCAUUUCAGUUUUAUCCUACAAAAGACAUCAAAGAAUUAAUUUUUGUAAUAUGUCUGGAAGAUAAAUAGCAGAAUCACUAUUACUUGUACUGAAAUAGAGAGUUGAGAGGAUGGUCUGAGCUAGUCUCAGACAGAUUAUAUGUUGCAAUUUCUUGAUUCCUAAUCUUGUGCCAGAAUAUCUUUGAGCAUCUGCUAAAAGCUAUCUGGAGAUGAGAAGGCUUCCUUUCACAUCUGGCCUGAUGAAAACAGAGUGACUGGCAAUUGUGCUCUCACAUUCUGAUGAGUCAGAACACUUUAAAAUAGUUUAGUGUAGAAGUAAAUAAAUAUCUUAUUUUUCUCUACAAUAGGCACCUUGAAGAAGCUUUUCUGUUGUGAAACCCAUCUUUCAGAAGCGCAUUAUGAAGUUAAGUCACUCACCAAGAGCUGAAACCUAGGAGCUGUCAAGGGCUUUCUAUUUUAAAUGACAUUUAUCUUCAUCUUGGAAAGGUAUCACCACGUUCCUUUUAUUUAUCUAUGUGAAGAGAGGCAAUAAUUUUUUUCUUGUCCAACCUGUGGAUUUAGUAAGUUCAUUACCUAUUUUUUUCUUUGUUUUUUAUGCUUCUUCUUUGAAACUGCUGUUUCAUACAUUGCAGAAGGUGGGGGGAGGUUGUAGAAGUACAGAAGGUGGUUGAACAAAUGACUUUUUCAUUUAUUCCUUAGUGAGAUAUCAUUUGAAUGCUUUGGAAUUGCGUAAGUUUUCUUGAAUUCUGAAGUCUUCCUGUAUGGCUUGUUGCAGUUUGCCCACAGUGGCCAAGGAGGACAAUAUAAAUAGAGAGCUUCCUUCUAGUGGGACCUGAUGAUCUCACCACUGUUUUCUAUUUUACAUGUUAAAUUCAAGAUACAGCAAAAUAGUUCAGUGUACCAGAUAACAGUUUUAGCCCAAAUGUGUGAUAUUUUCAUCUUUAGUAGCAAUCAGUCCUUUCUCAAGUCAUUCAUUUGAUAUUCAAAUUAAAAGGGGGAUUUAUUCUUAAAUUCCUACCUGCACUCCUGAAUGAAAUAUAUCAGAAUCCACAAUCCAUGGGAUUUAACUGGACUGCCAUGCUGUAGUGGAAACGCUAAGUCAUGGCCUGAACCAGUAAUUGAGCACCUGGUGGGAAGGCAGGACCAACUCAGGGGAGCUCAGGUGCGUGCGAUGCAUCUGAGUGACUGGAAGGGGUGGAGCCAGGAUCCAGACCUCAUUUAAGGGUUGGCAGUGGAGGUGAGAGUAUCUCACUGGAGUUCCAUACCUGCCUGAGGCCUUUCAAAGGUAAGCGGAUUUGUUCUUCUGUUUCGGUAUCCAUAGCUGCUGUGUUUGGGCUUGUUGUUGUUUGCUGUAGCUGAAGACUUUGGCACUCUGCUAUUAUUGCUAUACUUUCUGUCAUAUUAUUGCAUUGCACAUACUGUGCUUAAUCUAAUAGUUUUUUUACUUCGGUCUUUUCUUCUACAAUAGCCAAAUAUCAGUUUAGCAGGAGCUGAACGUUCCCCUUCUGAUAAGUCUUCCUGGGUAGGCAGCAGUACAGUGGGCUGACAGGCAGAACUUGUACCAGUGCUAAGUUUGGGAACUGCUGCAGGUCCUUUAUCUCAUGCUAGGGAGUGGAAAUGGGAAUGCAGGAAGCUCUGGCCAGCUUGAAUGGAAGCUCUAGGAAUAAUAAGAAGUAGAAGAUGAGACU